UGCACCAUCAUAAAGUUGUCCUAGGAAGAGA
rnacentral:piRNA from 1 species